rnacentral:rRNA from 1 species
UGGGGAAUUUUGGACAAUGGGCGAAAGCCUGAUCCAGCAAUGCCGCGUGUGUGAAGAAGGCCUUCGGGUUGUAAAGCACUUUUGUCCGGAAAGAAAUCCUUGGCUCUAAUACAGUCGGGGGAUGACGGUACCGGAAGAAUAAGCACCGGCUAACUACGUGCCAGCAGCCGCGGUAAUACGUAGGGUGCAAGCGUUAAUCGGAAUUACUGGGCGUAAAGCGUGCGCAGGCGGUUUGCUAAGACCGAUGUGAAAUCCCCGGGCUCAACCUGGGAACUGCAUUGGUGACUGGCAGGCUAGAGUAUGGCAGAGGGGGGUAGAAUUCCACGUGUAGCAGUGAAAUGCGUAGAGAUGUGGAGGAAUACCGAUGGCGAAGGCAGCCCCCUGGGCCAAUACUGACGCUCAUGCACGAAAGCGUGGGGAGCAAAACAGGAUUAGAUACCCUGGUAGUCCACGCCCUAAAACGAUGUCAACUAGUUGUUGGGGGAUUCAUUUUCCUUAGUAACGUAGCUAACGCGUGAAGUUGACCGCCUGGGGAGUACGGUCGCAAGAUUAAAACUCAAAGGAAUUGACGGGGUCAUAGCUGUUUCCU